rnacentral:rRNA from 2 species
GUGCCUAACACAUGCAAGUCGAACGAGAAAGCGGGGGCAACUCCGUGAGUAAAGUGGCGACCGGGUGAGUAACACGUGACUAACCUGCCCUCAAGUGGGGAAUAACUUCGGGAAACCGAGGCUAAUACCGCAUAACAUCGCGAUCGUGAAGGUCGUGAUCAAAGCAGCAAUGCGCUGGAGGAGGGGGUCGCGGCUGAUUAGCUAGUUGGUGAGGUAACGGCUCACCAAGGCGGUGAUCAGUAUCCGGCCUGAGAGGGCGCACGGACACACUGGAACUGAAACACGGUCCAG